GACGAACGCUGGCGGCGUGCCUAAUACAUGCAAGUUGAGCGCUGAAGGUUGGUCCUUGUACCAACUGGAUGAGCAGCGAACGGGUGAGUAACGCGUGGGGAAUCUGCCUUUGAGCGGGGGACAACAUUUGGAAACGAAUGCUAAUACCGCAUAAAAACUUUAAACACAAGUUUUAAGCUUGAAAGAUGCAAUUGCAUCACUCAAAGAUGAUCCCGCGUUGUAUUAGCUAGUUGGUGAGGUAAAGGCUCACCAAGGCGAUGAUACAUAGCCGACCUGAGAGGGUGAUCGGCCACAUUGGGACUGAGACACGGCCCAAACUCCUACGGGAGGCAGCAGUAGGGAAUCUUCGGCAAUGGACGAAAGUAUGACCGAGCAACGCAGCGUGAGUGAAGAAGGUUUUCGGAUCGUAAAACUAUGUUGGUAGAGAAGAACGUUGGUGAGAGUGGAAAGCUCAUCAAGUGACGGUAACUACCCAGAAAGGGACGGCUAACUACGUG
rnacentral:rRNA from 1 species